rnacentral:rRNA from 1 species
CCUACGGGUGGCAGCAGUGGGGAAUUUUGGACAAUGGGCGCAAGCCUGAUCCAGCUAUUCCGCGUGUGGGAUGACGGCAUUCGGGUUGUAAACCACUUUUGUAGAGAACGAAAAGUCUGUUGAUAAUACCGAUAGAUGAUGACGGUACUCUAAGAAUAAGCACCGGCUAACUACGUGCCAGCAGCCGCGGUAAUACGUAGGGUGCGAGCGUUAAUCGGAAUUACUGGGCGUAAGGGGUGUGCAGGCUGUUCUGCAAGAUGGAUGUGAAAGCCCCGGGCUUAACCUGGGAAAGCCAUACAUGACUGCAAGACUAGAGUGCGUCAGAGGGGGGUGGAAUUCCAAGUGUAGCAGUGAAAUGCGUAGAUAUUUGGAAGAACACCGAUGGCGAAGGCAGCCCCCUGGGACGCAACUGACGCUCAUACACGAAAGCGUGGGGAGCAAACAGGAUUAGAUACCCGAGUAGUC